rnacentral:rRNA from 1 species
AUUGGGCCUAAGCAUCCGUAGCCGGUCUUGCAAGUCUUCCGUUAAAUCCACCUGCUUAACAGAUGGGCUGCGGAGGAUACUACAAGGCUAGGAGGCGGGAGAGGCAAGCGGUACUCAGUGGGUAGGGGUAAAAUCCUCUGAUCCAUUGAAGACCACCAGUGGCGAAGGCGGCUUGCCAGAACGCGCUCGACGGUGAGGGAUGAAAGCUGGGGGAGCAAACCGGAUUAGAUACCCCCGUAGUCCA